AUUGAACGCUGGCGGCAGGCCUAACACAUGCAAGUCGAACGAGUGGCGGACGGGUGAGUAAUGUCUGGGAAACUGCCCGAUGGAGGGGGAUAACUACUGGAAACGGUAGCUAAUACAGCAGACCAUCGGAUGAGCCCAGAUGGGAUUAGCUAGUAGGUGGGGUAACGGCUCACCUAGGCGACGAACUCUAGCUUGUCUGAAAGGAUGACCAGCCACACUGGAACUGAGACACGGCCCAGACUCCUACGGGAGGCAGCAGUGGGGAAUAUUGCGCGAUGGGGGCAAGCCUGACGCAGCCAUGCCGCGUGUAUGAAGAAGGCCUUCGGGUUGUAAAGUACUUUCAGCGAGGAGGCGUUACUCGCAGCAGCAGCAUCGGCUAACGCCGUGCCAGCAGCCGCGGUCCUUC
rnacentral:rRNA from 1 species